CAGAAAAGGUAGUGAACAAUUUUCCAGUCACCAAAUAAGUCAAAUUAAAGACCAUCAACCCCCCCCCAAGUGCUGGACCAACCCAUAAUUAGUUACGGCUACUGAUAGCAAGGAAUUCUAAACUUAGCAUUUCUCUUUGUGUUUUGCAUCCUAAAUUUCAUAUUCGUAGCGAACUACAGGGUGACAAAGCAAGGGGAAUAC